AACGAACGCUGGCGGCAUGCCUAACACAUGCAAGUCGAACGAGACCUUCGGGUCUAGUGGCGCACGGGUGCGUAACGCGUGGGAACCUGCCCUUAGGUUCGGAAUAACUCCCCGAAAGGGGUGCUAAUACCGGAUAAUGUCUUCGGACCAAAGAUUUAUCGCCUUUGGAUGGGCCCGCGUUGGAUUAGCUAGUUGGUAGGGUAAAAGCCUACCAAGGCGACGAUCCAUAGCUGGGCUGAGAGGAUGAUCAGCCACACUGGGACUGAGACACGGCCCAGACUCCUACGGGAGGCAGCAGUGGGGAAUAUUGGACAAUGGGCGAAAGCCUGAUCCAGCAAUGCCGCGUGAGUGAUGAAGGCCUUAGGGUUGUAAAGCUCUUUUACCCGGGAUGAUAAUGACAGUACCGGGAGAAUAAGCUCCGGCUAACUCCGU
rnacentral:rRNA from 1 species